GCAGCCGCCGCGGGAAAACAGAGGGUGCGAGCGUUAAUCGGAUUUACUGGGCGUAAAGCGUGCGUAGGCGGCUUCUUAAGUCGGAUGUGAAAUCCCUGAGCUUAACUUAGGAAUUGCAUUCGAUACUGGGAAGCUAGAGUAUGGGAGAGGAUGGUAGAAUUCCAGGUGUAGCGGUGAAAUGCGUAGAGAUCUGGAGGAAUACCGAUGGCGAAGGCAGCCAUCUGGCCUAAUACUGACGCUGAGGUACGAAAGCAUGGGGAGCAAACAGGAUUAGAUACCCCAGUAGUCCCUGUCUCUUAUAC
rnacentral:rRNA from 1 species